rnacentral:rRNA from 1 species
UACAGAGGUCCCAAGCGUUGUUCGGAUUCACUGGGCGUAAAGGGUGCGUAGGUGGUGAGGUAAGUCGGAUGUGAAAUCUCCAGCUCAACCUGGAAAUGGCAUUGGAAACUACCUUGCUAGAGGGUUUGAGGGGGGACUGGAAUACUUGGUGUAGCAGUGAAAUGCGUAGAUAUCAAGUGGAACACCAGUGGCGAAGGCGAGUCCCUGGAAAAUACCUGACACUGAGGCACGAAAGCUAGGGGAGCAAACAGG